rnacentral:tRNA from 1 species
GCGGGCGUAGUUCAGCGGUAGAACGUCUCCUUGCCAAGGAGAAGGUCACGAGUUCGAAUCUCGUCGCCCGCU